UCCGGAGGGCGCAAUCGUUGUUCGGAAUCAUUGGGCGUAAAGCGCGUGUAGGCGGCUUGGCAAGUCGAGUGUGAAAGCCCGGGGCUCAACCCCGGAAGGUCGCUCGAAACUGCCUCGCUAGAGUCCCGGAGAGGAAGGCGGAAUUCCCGGUGUAGAGGUGAAAUUCGUAGAUAUCGGGAGGAACACCAGCGGCGAAGGCGGCCUUCUGGACGGUGACUGACGCUGAGACGCGAAAGCGUGGGGAGCAAACAGG
rnacentral:rRNA from 1 species